rnacentral:rRNA from 1 species
UACGGGGGGGGCAAGCGUUGUUCGGAAUUACUGGGCGUAAAGGGCUCGUAGGCGGCCAACUAAGUCAGACGUGAAAUCCCUCGGCUUAACCGGGGAACUGCGUCUGAUACUGGAUGGCUUGAGAUUGGAAGAGGGAUGCGGAAUUCCAGGUGUAGCGGUGAAAUGCGUAGAUAUCUGGAGGAACACCGGUGGCGAAGGCGGCAUCCUGGACCAACACUGACGCUGAGGAGCGAAAGCCAGGGGAGCAAACGGG